rnacentral:misc_RNA from 1 species
UCGAGAACCGGACUGAGAGACCGCGAACCUGUAAACGGACGAUAUCGUGUCGGGCAGGGAUUAUGUCCGCCCUACUCGGGACCUCACAUCGUGUCCGCGGCCGCCUCUGAGCUUUCCCGGCACGGUUUGCGGGGGACGAACGAAACCCCGACGUAGCCUGUGCCAAGGAACAUAUGUCAGGACGGACGUGUGCCAACACCUCUGUGGUGGGGGGACAUCCGCUCUCUAUC